CCAGUUACACAUUUGUGGGCUUAUAACUUGGCUUCUGAAUGUCCUAGAGAGAUCAGGUUUGUUUUAGUGUACUCCAAUCAACAGCCGCUACAAACUCAAAAAGGAAUGGAGUCAUUAGCACUUAUGGUUUUUAAAUGGCACCCAGAAUUAUGCUGCACUAAGCACAAUUUCACAUCAUUCUGGGUUCAUUUGUAUGAAAACAAGGUCAGAUAAGGCUGAAACGUUACAGGAAGGUAGAAUCUAUUGAGUUGUAAGUGAUCUGAAUGUUUCAUGAUGAUAGCACUUUCCUAAUGGGGUCAAACCAUGUCCCAAAGGUCACCGGAUCUGGUGUCAAUUUAAAGAAGUAGUCCAGUUACACAUUUGUGGGCUUAUAACUUGGCUUCUGAAUGUCCUAGAGAGAUCAGGUUUGUUUUAAUGUACUCCAACCAACAGCCCCUACAACCACAAAAAGGAAUGGAGUCAUUAGCACUUAUGUUUUGUAAAUGGCACCCAGAAUUAUGUUGCACGAAGCACAAUUUCACAUCAUUCUGGGGUCAUUUGUGUGAAAACAAGGUCCAAUCAGCCUGAAACGUUACAGGAAGGUAGAAUCUAUUGAGUUGUAAGUGAUCUGAACGUUUCAUGAUGAUAGCACUUUCCUAAGGGGGUCAAACCAUGUCCCAAAGGUCACCGGAUCUGGUGUCAAUUUAAAGAAGUAGUCCAGUUACACAUUUGUGGACUUAUAACUUGGCUUCUGAAUGUCCUAGAGAGAUCAGGUUUGUUUUAAUGUGCUCCAAUCAACAGCCCCUACAACCACAAAAAGGAAUGGAGUCAUUAGCACUUAUGGUUUGUAAAUGGCACCCAGAAUUAUGUUGCACGAAGCACAAUUUCACAUCAUUCUGGGGUCAUUUGUGUGAAAACAAGGUCCAAUCAGCCUGAAACGUUACAGGAAGGUAGAAUCUAUUGAGUUGUAAGUGAUCUGAACGUUUCAUGAUGAUAGCACUUUCCUAAGGGGGUCAAACCAUGUCCCAAAGGUCACCGGAUCUGGUGUCAAUUUAAAGAAGUAGUCCAGUUACACAUUUGUGGACUUAUAACUUGGCUUCUGAAUGUCCUAGAGAGAUCAGGUUUGUUUUAAUGUGCUCCAAUCCACAGCCCCUACAACCACAAAAAGGAAUGGAGUCAUUAGCACUUAUGGUUUGUAAAUGGCACCCAGAAUUAUGUUGCACGAAGCACAAUUUCACUUCAUUCUGGGUCCAUUUGUGUGAAAACAAGGUCCAAUCAGGCUGAAACGUUACAUGAAGGUAGAAUCUAUUGAGUUGUAAGUGAUCUGAACGUUUCAUGAUGAUAGCACUUUCCUAAGGGGGUCAAACCAUGUCCCAAAGGUGACCGGAUCUGGUGUCAAUUUAAAGAAGUAGUCCAGUUACACAUUUGUGGGCUUAUAACUUGGCUUCUGAAUGUCCUAGAGAGAUCAGGUUUGUUUUAAUGUACUCCAAUUAACAGCCCCUACAACCACAAAAAGGAAUGGAGUCAUUAGCACUUAUGGUUUGUAAAUGUCACCCAGAAUUAUGUUGCACGAAGCACAAUUUCACAUCAUUCUGGGUCCAUUUGUGUGAAAACAAGGUCCAAUCAGGAUGAAACGCUACAAGAAGGUAGAAUCUAUUGAGUUGUAAGUGAUCUGAACGUUUCAAGAUGAUCGCACAUUCCUAUAGGGGGUAAUACCAUGUCCCAAAGGUCACCGGGCCUGGUGUCACUUUAAAGAAGUAGUCCAGUUACACCAUUGUGGGCUUAUAACUUGGCUUCUGAAUGUCCUAGAGAGGUUAGGUUUGUUUUAGUGUACUCCAAUCAAAAGCCCCUACAACCACAAAAAGGAAUGGAAUCAUUAGCACUUAUGGUUUUUAAAUGGCACCCAGAAUUAUGUUGCACGAAGCACAAUUUCACAUCAUUCUGGGUUCAUUUGUGUGAAAACAAGGUCCAAUCAGGCUGAAACGUUACAGGAAGGUAGAAUCUAUUGAGUUGUAAGUGAUCUGAACGUUUCAUGAUGAUAGCACUUUCCUAAGGGGGUCAAACCAUGUCCCAAAGGUCACCGGAUCUGGUGUCAAUUUAAAGAAGUAGUCCAGUUACACAUUUGUGUUGUGAGCUGGGAGGUGAGCACUCCACACACACCAUGACAUCACCUGGCUUGUGAGUUCUGUUUUCAGGAGAGAGAGCAGCAGCUGCAAUCGAUCAGCUGAUCAGUGGGUGGCCUUCAUAAGGAGGACGGAGGACACUGCUAAGCCGCCGGAUGAUUACGCCUACUGGUAGAGUCCCAGCCACAGUGUUAACUCGAUUUUGAAACCUUGACUUUGAACUGUCGGAUCUUAGACUUUGAACUUUGAAACCUUAGCCUUGAACUUUAGAAACGUGUUUUUUGCUAGCGAUCUUUUGCUCAGAUUUUGUUCUCGUUUUGUCUCAGGCUCAGUCAUCUUUCCAUACACCACCUCCUCGCUGAGACCUUUUGGAUUUACUACUCGACCAUACUACGUCUGGACUUCACUCCCGGUUCCCGUCCUCCUCACGGCACUAACUGCUCCCAGCACUACAGGCUCUCUCUCUCCUUCCCUCCGGUUGUAAAACCUUGCCGAUCUUCAUCACCCCGGAAUACUCAUUCACUCUCCCAGCUCACCCCUCCCUGGAGAUCCUCCACCACGCUACAUCUACGCUGCUCCCGUUUACCCAUUCACUGGAUUUCCAGUGCACCCUAAGUUCUAGUUACCAAAUAAAUCUUUAUUUUUUCA